rnacentral:lncRNA from 1 species
CCCCCAAGCAAAUUCUACCAUUUGUUGUGGGGUUACCACAGUGAUGCUACCAAAAUUUACAUACACAACAGAGUUUAGUUCUUUUGAAUCAAGCCAGUCAAUACACUCUGGUUGAUCUUUCCAAAGAUUUGAACCAACGCUUUUCAAGUUGCUGUCUGGAAACUGAUCAACAAGCAACUGAAGAGGACCAAUAGUAUAAAUAGAAGGGAACAUGGUGGAAAGAGCAUCUAACACAUUUUUUUCAAAGGCCUCGAAUGUAUUCAAAAUGAUAGCAGAAGCUCUUGAAGUUCUCUCUACUUCCCUUACAAUGAAAUUGAGCAUUAUGUCAUUUCUGUCAGUAGUUCUAAUACGGUUUGGAAGAUCCCUUAAGCGAAUAUUUUUCAUUCCUGGAAUCCAAUCUAUGGUUGUUUCCAAGUACCCAUUUGUUAGAUAGCUCUCAUCUACAUUUCACAGAAAAAAUCAAGUGCAAGAAAGACUCAGUAAACCUACAAAAUCGAUUAUUCUGCUAACUAUAUUUAGAAAGAGAGUGAAUGCAUUAAACCUUUAAGAGGUGUAAAGCCUCUUUCAAUCAGAUGAGGCAAAUGUGCAUAGCCCAAAACGCCACAGGGGCUGUGUGUCCAGAAAAGUACAUUAGGAAUCCCAAAUUCUUGAGCGGCGUCAAGAGUGAAGCUCAUGCAACCAUCAGAAAUAACACAAGUAACAGGUGGAACAGUAUUGGAAGAAUUCAGCCUGGAAAGAAGAUGAUGAAAUGGGAGUAAGCAGUGCUUGGAGGUGGAGUUACAGAGAGAAGGGAUGUCUUGAGUGGCAUCUGCAUCCGAAGGUGGAAGCCCAUCAGGGAUAGCCUCAAAGUGAAAAUCUGGCAAUCCGUCAAGAGAGUCAGGGCCUCUAGACCUGAGCAAGCGUCUGUGGUUAUACUCUGUAUUGACAAAAGUUAUGUGAAAACCAUUGGAGUGGAGGAUUUUUGCUAGCUUGAGCAUUGAAUUUACAGGACCUUGAGCUGGAUAUGGGACGCACACAGCAUGACAUCUCUCGUCUCUGGCAACGGCAGAAGAACCCAUCUGUUUAUAUAUGUAUUCUGUACUUAAGUCUGCGAGAACCGAAUUUGGUGAUGGAAAAGAAGCUAAAUUCUGCUUCUUAAAACACGAGAGAUUGGCUUGAACAGUUCAAUCGAUUAAAAAAAUAAAACACAGCAGAGAAUUCCUGCCCGUAUCAAGCAAUCAGAGAUCUGCAAUAGAAAACGGAUAUGGUACGCAGACAGCAUUUACUGACGCCAUCGUAAUAAUUGUACUGAACUAACUUUAUUUAUUAUUUUUAUUCUUUUAAGAUAUUUCAUUAAAAGCCCUUACUCAACGUAGGGCCCACUGCUCAUUUAUGAAUGCAUUAAACCUUUAAUGCGUGGACCGUAAGCCAAGUUAAAUCACAUCAAAGUGGUACUAAAUUAAAAAUUAAAAAUUAAAAAUAAAUUUUAUAAGUAAGUUUUUUUAAAUUAUAUAUCAUAAUAAAUAAGUAAAAUUUUUUUAUUAAAGUAUGAAUAAUUUCAAAAUUCAAUAAAAUUUGAUCAACUUAGACACUGAAAGUAAUAACUAAUUAACAAAUCAUUAUAAAAAAAUUUCUUAAAAAUGCCAUUUAAAAAUUAAUAGUGUAAAUAAUUUAUUUUAUUAAUUAAAUUAAAUUAUUAUAUUUUUUAUUUUUUUAUAAAGUAAAAAUACAUAAUUAUUGUUUUUAUUUUGUUAUAUGAUUUUAAUAUAAGAAUAUUUAUUUUUUAUUAAUCAUUAAAAAAAUUAACUUUAAGUAAUUUUCAAUUAUAUAAAAUUUUUUAGAAUUUUUUAAAUAUUAUCAUAGUUUUUCAUAAACUCCUUCAAAUGUAGGGUCCCACAUCAAUUAUUAAGAGGAAAAAUGAUGGGUAAGAGUGUCCCACAUUAAUUAUUAAGAGGAAAAAUGAUGGGUAAGAGCCGAUCAGAAAAUUGUGCAAUAGCUAAAAACGGUCGUAUGAUAAAAUUUCUCCCUCUGAAAGACUAAAUUGCUUAUUUUGAGUGAAAACUUUGACAGCUAGUAAAAGUACACAACAGCAAAUAUACAGUACAACAAGCGAGGGUGAUACUUCUUCAGCCAUUAAAAAUUCCAAAUCAUUUUCUUUGAAGAAAUCCAAGCAGUUGGACCAAAUUCCUGUGAGAAGAGCCACCUGGUGUUGUGGCCUCCUCUGCUUUGAUCUUCCAUUCCAUUGCCUGCCUUUUCAUUUCUUUACCCUUCUUUCCAUCCAUCAACUCUCUCACAAGCUUUUCCACUUCCUCUCUUUUUACAUCAUUAUCAAUCUCCAUUCCAAUACCCCAUUCAUUGCAAGCGAACCAACAAUUGGUCUGUUGCUCCGCGAAGAAUGGCCAACAAACCACUGGAACACCUCCACAUAUACUCUCCAACGUCGAAUUCCACCCCAUAUGACUUAAAAAUCCUCCUAUUGCAGGAUGCUUCAAGAUUUGCUCUUGUGGAGACCAGCUCGCUAACGUUCCUCUGUCCUUGGUUUCAGACCCAAAUUCGGGUGGCAACAUCGCAGCUUCGCCAACCACAAGGUCUGGCCUUAUUAUCCACAAAAAUGGUUUCUUGCUGUUGGCUAGCCCCCAAGCAAAUUCUAUCAUUUGUUGUGGGGUUACCACAGUGAUGCUACCAAAAUUUACAUACACAACAGAGUUUGGUUCUUUUGAAUCAAGCCAGUCAAUACACUCUGGCUGUUCUUUCCACAGAUUUGAACCAAUGUUUAUCAAUUUGCUGUCUGGGAUCUGAUCAAGAAGCAACUGAAGAGGACCAAUAGUAUAAAUAGGAGGUAACAUGGUGAAAAGAACAUCCAACACAUUUUUCUCAAAGGCCUCGAAUGUGUUCAAAAUGACAGCAGAAGCUCUUGAAGUUCUCUCUAUUUCCCUUACAAAGAAAUUGAGCAUGAUGUCAUUUCUGUCAGUAGUUCUGAUAAAGCUUGGAAGAUCCCUUAAGCGAAUAUUUCUCAUUCCUGGAAUCCAAUCUAUGGUUGUAUCCAAGUCCCCAUUUGUUAGAUAGCUCUCAUCUGCAUUUCACAGACCAAAUCAAGUGCAAGAAAGAUUCAGUAAACCUAAGAACCUAAUCUUCUGCUAACUAUAUCUAAAAAGAGGGUGAGAGUAUUAAACCUUUAAGAGGUGUUAAGCCCCUUUCAAUCAGAUGACGAUAAUGAGCAUAGGCCAAAACGCCACAGGAGCUGGGUGUCCAGAAAAGUACAUCAGGAAUUCCAAAUUCAUGAGCUGCGUCAAGAGUGAAGCUCAUACAAGCAUCAGAAAUAACACAAGUAACAGGUGGGACAGUAUUGGAAGAGUUGAGCCUGGAAAGAAGAUGGCGAAAUGGGAGUAAGCAGUGCUUGGAGGUGGAGUCACAGAGAGAUGGGAUGUCUUGGGUGGCAUUUGCAUCAGAAGGUGGAAGGCCAUCAGGGAUAGAAUCAAAGUGAAAAUCUGGCAAGCCGUCAAGAGAGUCAGGGCCUCUAGACCUGAGCAAGCGUCUGUGGUUAUACUCUGUGUUGACGAAAGUUAUGUGAAAGCCAUUGGAGUGGAGGAUUUUCGCAAGCUUGAGCAUUGGAUUUACAUGACCUUGAGCUGGAUAUGGUACGCACACAGCAUGAGGUCUCUCGUCUCUUGCAAUGGCGAAGGAACCCAUCUGUGCUUGUGCAAUUGUGUAGUAAUACUCUAUAAGAGCUGUAGUUGAUCAGGAAAAAUGAAGCUAAAUGCUGCUUCUUAUAACCAAAGAGAGGUUGGCUUCAACAGUCCAAUCAAUAAUAUAGUUAUUUUAUAGUAUUUACACUUAUUUUAUAAAUAUAAAUAAUUUAUUAAUAUAUAUAUAUAAUUUACAUUAAUAUAAAAAUUUUAUAAUUAAUAAAUACUAAAAAAAAUAAGAUGAUGGUUAAAAUAAAAUAUAAAAUCUAGUAAAAAUUUUAAAGAGAUGUUUAGUUUACCUUUUUGUGACAAUAACUAUUUUGUAUAUUUGAUAAAUACUUAUUAGCUAUUUUUUUUCAUCAACUGUCACUGGCUUUUUUCCCAUCCAUUGAUAGUUGAUAAGAUUUUAACUUUUAUUUGGACCAUUUUUCUCCUUUGUUUAAAGCUUUUUCUUAUCCAUUCAUAGUUGAUCAGCUUUUAUACACAAUCAUAUUUUUAAAUAUUAUGUGUAUUUUAUAAUAAAUUAUUAAUUAUAUAUAUAUAUAUAUACAUACAUAUUUUACUAAUUUAAAUUAUAAUUAAAAAUUAAUUAUAAAUUAUUAACUAUUAACAACAUUGUUAAUGCUAAAUAUCGAACCGAAUCAAAUCAAGUUUUCAUAGUCUCGGCUCGAGUUUUAUUUAUUAGUUUAAACUUAAUUUAUAAAAUAAAUAUUAAACUCGAACAAUAUUCGAAUUUAAUUCGUAAUAAAUUCGUUGAUUACAUUAACGAACCAACUUAAAUUCCAUUCAAAUGAAUCAACUUAAACUCCAUUCAAAAACUUGAAUUUGCGCUCAUUUAAAUUUAAAUUUUAACUCGAUUAUAUUAUAAACAAACUUAAUAUAAUUUAAAUAUAUUUAAAUUAUAAAUAAAUUUAAAUUAAAAAUAAAAUUAAAAUUAUAAAAUCAUUAAAAAGUUUAAAAUUAAAUUUUUUUAUUUAAUUAAAAUCUUUCAAAUUCAAAACUAAUAAAAAAAAGUAAAAAGAUUAUACUUUUAUAAAAAAUUCACGGUCCAUAUACUUUUUAACUUUUAACGUGGAAUUGGUGUUAGCGAACGAGUCUGAUCACGAGUUUGUUCGUAAGCAUAUUCACGAGUCAACUCGCAAAUUUGUUUAUAACGAACCAAGCUCGCGAGAUUAAAGGAGUCGAAUACUGCUAAACUAAAAAUCGGCACGUUUAUUAAACGAAUCUAAAAAGUGAGUUUGAGUUCGACUCGUUUAGAAAACGAAACGAAUCCGAUCAAAUUUUUAUCUAAUCGAGUCUCGAAUACCUAUUGAUUACUAUUUUUAAAAAAUUACCAAACAUUUAAAUUAAAUAUUUGGGAGUUACAUCAAUUAUCAGUUAGAAAAAAUGGUAAAUCAAAAUCCUCUUAGUACCAAUUCCAUUAAGUAUAACAAAAUCACGACUAUCAGGUAUUUAUCUUGUGACCUUUUAGGAACAAACCUUUCUUUUUGUUUUUACUUAACUAAAAUUAAAAUUUUAGAAAGUUAAUGAAAAAAAAUUAAUUGGAUUAAAUUACUGUAAAAUUCUAAUUGAUUCUAAACGAAAUUUUGAUAAAAUUGGUUUAAUUCUUUGACAUUUUAGUUCUGAUUUUAUUUUGUUAUUAGUUUUUUAAUUUUGGUUUUGUGAGGUUUUUAUUUAGAUUUUGAUUCUUGAAAUUUUUUUAUACACUUGCUUUUAUGAAACAUUAUACUUAAGUUACUAUUUAAGUUUUAAAUUGUAUUAAUUAAAAUAUAUUAUAUAAUAUUUCUUGUAAUAUAUUUCUAACUAAAAUUAUCAAGGAAAAAAAAGAUAAAAUCGAUAUUUGUAUUGAUAUUAUUACUAUUUUAGUCAUAUAUAAACACGUCAUACAUUAAAAAUAUACUAAUCUAUCUAAAAAUUAAUUAUAUAUAUAUAUAUAUAUAUAUAUAUAUAUAUAUAAUUUUACUUUUUUUAUCAUGAAAAUUAAAAUUGUAUUUCUAAAGCACAAAUAAAAUAAAAUUAUAAAGAGACGCAUAAUAGACUAGAAGGCUAAACCAGCCUAAAAUUAAAAAAUAAACCAAUUAAAUAACAGAAAUCCAACCAAAACCUAACCAAAUAAAUCAAAUUAGUAAUCGAACAAAAUAAUCGAACAGAAGACUGUCGCAUACCAUCCCACACUGCUAUACCGUCUGAGCAUCAUCCAUGACUGCAACAACAGCCAAAGAGAUAAAAAGCGUGAUAGGCAACAAAACCAUAUCAACAUCCCCAAUUAACAAGGGCGGCUAAACAACAAAGAGAUAAAAAGAAUAAAGAAACUAUAAUACACACAUGGAAAAAACAGAAAUAGAGAAGAGAGGCUACUGGUAAUAGAGAAGAGAGGCCACUGGUAAGUGUAGUCCACCGACAAAAGUAGAUCCGAGGAAGGAGCCACCAUAGAGCCCAGCUAAAGAAGGCCGAUGGAAGCGGUAGCCAUCAGACGUAUCGAUGCUGUCUCGGGAUACGAUAUUACACCCAAAGGUAACCUCCCCACGGAAAGUCAAUAUCGAAGCCCUCAAGGUCCUUGCACCAGAAUCUUCCUUGUCAACAGAACCACCAAAGACUGGAGAAACGGAUAGCAAAUUAAAGCAAAAACAAAAGUCAAUCUGGUCAUCCACGGCAAAGAAAAUUCGAGAAGGACGACGGCUCUAAAAAGAAACCCUCAUUCCCUCGUUUUAAAGCAAGGAGAAGGAAAAAUACCACAUCUGGAAAAACACGAAUAAAAUGAAGUCAAUCAAGAGUGAAAAUAAUAAGAAUCAGACCCUAAAACACAAAAAAUUCCUUAUCCUUUACUCUUCUCACUUUACUUUGAUUACAAUCUAAUAAGAUUCUAUAAUAGGGUUUACAGUGUAUGAGUGAGCUUAGCCAGGGAAAAUCUUGUCUCUCCCCCUUUAUCCCUUUUCUUUUUGUCUUCUAGUGAUGCAUAACCGCCAUUCUGCUACAGUGUCACCUGUCCCUGUUACUCAGGUUCGUACGUACGGAUGUGCCAGUGUACCCCUCUCUAUUAGGCGGCCAUUUAAUUCCCCCCGACGUGCAUGCUGAUAGAGCUGCGAGGUGACUGGGCCUGCUGACUAUGCGGUUGUCGAGACCGGUCAAAAAUAACCUUUUUGGUUAUCCACAAUUUUACAACUGUAUAUAGUGAUAAAAGGAUUGAAUCCAUAUGGAAUUCAUACUUACCUAUGUUGUUGGGAAGUCCAUAAAUUAUUGCAACCCAAAGGCGCAGCGGAAAAAUAAAAUUUCUCUGAUUUCCUUUUCCCAGAAUCCGAGUGCUUCGUUUAUUUCAUAAGAAGGAUAUGAAACUAACCUGUUAAUCUCAUCAAGAAUAUACAAUGCCGAACUGAUGGUGCUGCUUUUCCAAACGAACACCCUCUAUAGUAUCCACACAAACGUCUUCUAUCUUUCUAGAGUGCUAGCUCUCUCAAAGAUGGAUAGAUUAUAUGCUCUACAAUCUGCAAUAGUUAUACUAAAUUUUUCUCCAAAAAUUAACAUUAUCCUUCCACAAUUCAUAGAAGGAGUAUUUAUAUGUUUCAGUCUUUUAUUUUUCCCACAAUUUCUUUUCCUAAAAGGAGUUGUGUUCAUAACCCACUAUCACAAUCUCACAGAUACUCAAAUAUCUUAUAUGAUAGAGUUCUUUAUUUGUAACAGUUACAGAUAAAUUGCAGAUCUUUUAAAUAUUAUUAUCUCAUAAUAAUAAAUAAUUAAUAAUAAUAACACUUUAUUAUUAUUAAUUAUAUUAAUGAUUAAUAAUAAUAACACUUUAUUAUUAUUAAUUAUAUUAAUGGGCUUUAGACUUUUAGCUCAUUAAUAUGUCAUAACACAUCAACAACAUGUAUGACCCAAUAGGCUCACAUUAAUUGGCAAUAGGCCCAGUCCCAGUCCCACAAGACUCAUAAAUCAUAAGUGGCCUCUACCAAGACAUUAUGACUACCCAAUUAAUAUGAGGAUCAAUAGUCCGAUAAAGCCUAAUAAAUAGAACAUGUAUUAAUCCCUUUGUCACACGAUAUGUAGUUUGAACAUAAGUCAUGGUCAAUGUCAAACUUAUAAUGUUCAAACUUAUGAUUUCUCGAUCUCUAAGUAGACUGAUAAAUUCAAAAGAUAUUGAUCACACUAUCAAUUCAUUUGAGCACGGCUAUACAUUUCUCAGUCUCACUUAUCGAGGGACCCAGAAGAUAGCUCUUUCAGAGAGAGGGACAAAUCCUAUCUUGAUUGUUCAUUAUCCUCUACAUAAUUUCUAUUAUGCUCAAUCAUAACCUUUAUGAUUGUCCGAUUAAAGACAACGUUUGGUUAUGUCAAAACAUAACAGUCCUUAUAUUAGAAACUAUGACAAUCUCAAGUCAAAGGAUUAAGACAUAACUAUUUUGAGAUUCACUUAUGACAAUAACCCAUGUAGUGAUCUCAGUGCGAGUCCAUCAAAUACUUUGUUCUCUAAUAAGUAUUUAUGAUUGUUAAUUAUAUCAACAUAUACAUAAUCAUCUCAUGAUUAUCAAUCAAUAAUCAUACUAGCUAUAUUUUAUUAUUAUCAACAUAAUAAUAAGUAAUCAGGGAUGAUAAUCAUUAUUAUGUAAUAUGCAAACAAAUAAUAAUGAUAAAAACUUCUUUUAUUAAUAACCAAAACGACAUACAAAAAGGUCUAAGAUAAUGGCCUAGGGCAAAUACACUAACAAUAUAUGCUUCUAUCAAAAACCAAGUAAAUAAACUGGAAAAAAAAAAUAAAAAGGGGGUUUUGAAGUUGAUGAACUAAACUAGAAUUAAAAGUAGUAAAGCAAAACAAAUAAUAGAGUAGGAGAAUUCAAUAAUAAGAAAAGUCUAGUUGAAGCUUUGGAUCCACUUCAGUUGUUGGUAUUGAUCAUUGACACUUAUGUUUUUUUAUUUGACUCAAUAAAUUAGUUAUGGGGUGGAAGACGCUUUUCACCAUCAUAUCUCUCCUUAAGCAUAUAUUAAUUACGAAAUGUUCUCUAAUUAAUCACUAAUCAAUAAGUUGCCAAGGAACGUCAUUGGGGCUUUAGAUUCAUACAACUGUCAAUUGCAUUAAGAAAUAAAGAGACCUAAUUCUAGCUAUCCAAACGUAUGGUGAUCUUGCUAGAUUAUGCAAUCUCCUUGGUGUUUACACCAAGAGUUACUUGUGUUUGAAUAAUUCAAGCAAUUAUGGAACUAAAUUACCCAAACUAACAAAUUAUCACUUUGCAAUCAAGAAUCAAUGGGCCAUAUUGAUCUAAACAACAAAGUAACAAUAGAAUUAAGCAUGAAAUUGCAUAAAUAUUGAUAAAUAAAAUAUGAACAUCAUAGGUUCAGAUCUCCCAAUUCAUUAACAAACUGAAGUUUCACUUAAUCUUCAACUAGAAAAAGAGGUUUUAGCCAAUAAUGGCUGAAACUAACAUUAAAAUCAAAGAAAGAAAGCAAGAAUAAGAAAUUGGGCCGGCUGGGCGGCUACUAGAGGCACGCGAUUGCUGGAGGUGAUGAUCUCUGAAAAAGAUCUCCCCCCUUUGGUUGCUGGAUGGCUCUCUAUUUAUAUCUGAAUGUGAAACCCUAGGUUAUCCCUUGAUUAGAUGGAGUUAUUUUCCAAUUUGGAUUUGAAUUCCUUUUGGCAAUUGAGUUUCCUUGCAAUUUGGACUCCUUGAUGGGCGGAAUUUUGUUGGUGAGGUGUCCUGAAGUGUUUGGAAUAGGACGGACUUCUGAAAGUUUGGAUUUCUGGUUUCCCGCUUUUCUGUUAUUUUCUGCUGCAAAAUCUGUUUGCGCUACUAUUUGGACAAACAGCCAGUCAACACAGUCAAUUAUGUGUUGUCUGUCAUUCUACCUCUGUUCUGCGAGAUUUGUUUGCCUAGUUGUUUGGGCAAACAGCAGGUCAAACAGCAAGUCUGCACUACUCUUCAUCCUUCUCCCGUUUCUGCUGCAACUUGGUUUGGGCAGUUGUUUGGGCAAACUAAGCUUAGCACACCAAACUUGAUCUAUUGGAUUUCUCUUCCAUUCUCUUUGGGUAGUUUUUAGGUCAUUUUUCAUCAAAUCACCUUUUUACACAAUUUUCUGCAAAAAUAUAUUAAAACCAUAAAAUUAGAUAGAAAAUUUGUAAUUUAACAUCAAUAAUAUGAAAAAUGGGCCUAAUUUUGGUUUGAUUACCUGCUCUCUUACCUUCCGUCAUAUCACUGGACUAAGCCAUCCCUUAGUGAACCUGCGUGCGGGUCAGUCUGGCCCGCUUUGGUUACGGGCUGGAGUACAUCAUAUUGGACCGGCCUGCUCUAAGAGAUUCUGAUGGGCUUGGACCUGUAUCUUUCCCUAGGACUCGACUCCUCCCUUGGGUGUAAGAAGCUAGCGAUCAUAAAGAUAAAAUUUAUUUAUUUAAUUUUCAAAUAAAAUUAUAGUUUUCUUAAUAUAAUUUUAAGAUAAAAAUAUAGUUUUUAAAUUAAAUUUUAAUUUCUGAUUUAAAUUUUAAAUUGAACUGCCAUCGCCUCCGGCUGAGCCGUUCAAUAGAUCCAUGGGUUAGAUAGGUCACCACACAAGAUCCUUCCUAAACUCCUUCAAAAACAAAGGAGAUACACUGCGAAGAAACGUUAUAGCUACCACUUCAAAUGUAGUGUCCCACAUCAAUUAUUAAGAGGAAAAUUGAUGGGUAAGAGCCGAUCAGAAAAUUGUGCAAUAGCUAAAAACGAUCGUAUGAUAAAAUUUCUCCCUCUGAAAGACUAAAUUGCUUAUUUUGAGUGAAAACUUUGACAGCUAGUAAAAGUACACAACAGCAAAUAUACAACACAACAAGCGAGGGUGAUACUUCUUCAGCCAUUAGAAAUUCCAAAUCAUUUUCUUUGAAGAAAUCUAAGCAGUUCGACCAAAUUCCUGUGAGAAGAGCCACCUGGUGUUGUGGACUCCUCUGCUUUGAUCUUCCAUUCCAUUGCCUGCCUUUUCAUUUCUUUACCCUUCUUUCCAUCCAUCAACUCUCUCACAAGCUUUUCCACUUCUUCUCUUUUUACAUCAUUAUCAAUCUCCAUUCCAAUACCCCAUUCAUUGCAAGCGAACCAACAAUUGGUCUGUUGCUCCGCGAAGAAUGGCCAACAAACCACUGGAACACCUCCACAUAUACUCUCCAACGUCGAAUUCCACCCCAUAUGACUUAAAAAUCCUCCUACUGCAGGAUGCUUCAAGAUUUGCUCUUGUGGAGACCAGCUCGCUAACUUUCCUCUGUCCUUGGUUUCAGACACAAAUUCGGGUGGCAACAUCGCAGCUUCGCCAACCACAAGAUCUGGCCUUAUUAUCCACAAAAAUGGUUUCUUGCUGUUGGCUAGCCCCCAUGCAAAUUCUACCAUUUGUUGUGGGGUUACCACAGUGAUGCUACCAAAAUUUACAUACACAACAGAGUUUGGUUCUUUUGAAUCAAGCCAGUCAAUACACUCUGGCUGUUCUUUCCACAGAUUUGAACCAAUGUUUCUCAAUUUGCUGUCUGGGAUCUGAUCAAGAAGCAACUGAAGAGGACCAAUAGUAUAAAUAGGAGGUAACAUGGUGAAAAGAACAUCCAACACAUGUUUCUCAAAGGCCUCGAAUGUGUUCAAAAUGAUAGCGGAAGCUCUUGAAGUUCUAUCUACUUCCCUUGC